rnacentral:rRNA from 1 species
UACAGAGGUCUCAAGCGUUGUUCGGAUUCAUUGGGCGUAAAGGGUGUGUAGGUGGCGCGGUAAGUCGGGUGUGAAAUCUCGGAGCUUAACUCCGAAACUGCAUUCGAUACUGCCGUGCUUGAGGACUGGAGAGGAGACUGGAAUUUACGGUGUAGCGGUGAAAUGCGUAGAUAUCGUAAGGAAGACCAGUGGCGAAGGCGGGUCUCUGGACAGUUCCUGACGCUGAGGCACGAAGGCCAGGGGAGCAAACGGG